rnacentral:rRNA from 1 species
GAUGAACGCUGGCGGCGUGCCUAAUACAUGCAAGUCGAGCGAACGGACGAGAAGCUUGCUUUUCUGAUGUUAGCGGCGGACGGGUGAGUAACACGUGGAUAACCUACCUAUAAGACUGGGAUAACUUCGGGAAACCGGCGCUAAUACCGGAUAAUAUUUUGAACCGCAUGGUUCAAAAGUGAAAGACGGUCUUGCUGUCACUUAUAGAUGGAUACGCGCUGCAUUAGCUAGUUGGUAAGGUAACGGCUUACCAAGGCAACGAUGCAUAGCCGACCUGAGAGGGUGAUCGGCCACACUGGAACUGAGACACGGUCCAGACUCCUACGGGAGGCAGCAGUAGGGAAUCUUCCGCAAUGGGCGAGAGCCUGACGGAGCAACGGCGCGUGAGUGAUAAAGGUCUUCGGAGCGUAAAACUCUGUUAUGAGGUAAGAACAGAUGUGUAAGUAACUGUGCACAGCUUGACGGUACCUAAUCAGAAAGCCACGGCUAACUACGUG